GAAUUGACGGGGACCCGCACAAGCGGUGGAUGAUGUGGUUUAAUUCGACGCAACGCGAAAAACCUUACCUACCCUUGACAUGUCUGGAAUCCUGCAGAGAUGUGGGAGUGCUCGAAAGAGAACCAGAACACAGGUGCUGCAUGGCCGUCGUCAGCUCGUGUCGUGAGAUGUUGGGUUAAGUCCCCGCAACGAGCGCAACCCUUGUCAUUAGUUGCUACGAAAGGGCACUCUAAUGAGACUGCCGGUGACAAACCGGAGGAAGGUGGGGAUGACGUCAGGUCAUCAUGGCCCUUAUGGGUAGGGCUACACACGUCAUACAAUGGCCGGUACAGAGGGCUGCCAACCCGCGAGGGGGAGCUAAUCCCCAGAAAAACCGGUCGUAGUCCGGAUCGCAGUCUGCAACUCGACUGCGUGAAGUCGGAAUCGCUAGUAAUCGCGGAUCAGCUUGCCGCGGUGAAUAC
rnacentral:rRNA from 1 species